AUAAAUUAAAAAAAAAUAUAUAUAUAUAUGAACUAUAUGAUUAAAAUUAAUUUUGCCUGUUCCUUUUUAGAAAUGUGGCUACUACAACUUUUAAAUAUAUAGAGAGAUGAUACUAUAUUUUUAUUGGACAGUGCUUUCUAGAAUUUUCUUAUGACUUGUUAACCUUUAUUUAUGACCCCCUGUGUCUGGAGAUGGUGAUGAGGGUAGGAAAUGAAACCAAGGUGAAAGCACAAAGGAGCUACCCAUGGGAAUGGCACCAGCUCUGUCUACUGGGACCCAUAACAACCACUCAAUUUGACUAUAAAUUGACUUGCAUUAUUAAUAUUAUUAUGAACACAUAUAAGUUGUAUAAAUCAUUGGGCUUCACUGUGACAUUCCAUACAUGCAUAUAUCAUGUAUUGGUCAUGUCCACCCUCCCUCUACCUUUCCCUCACUUGUCUCUUGCCUAUUCACAGGUAUCAACUUGUAUUUGACAACAUAUUGACUAAACAGGCAGAUACAAAUGUUGUUUUGCACUUUUUUAGCAAGAGCAACCACCAUUACAUUUACAGGUGAAAUUUUUUACUUGCAUAGUUUUGUAUAAUUCUUAUAACAACCCUAUGGAAGUAAAUCUUUCACACACACACACACUUAUUUUUUACUGGUUCAUUAUAGUUGUAUAUAACUGUGGAAUUUGUUGUUCCAUAUUCAUAUAUACACUUGAUGUAACAAUGUAAUUUGGGCAAUAUCAUUCCCUAAUAUUUCCCCUUUCCCUCCCCUCCUCCUUCCCCUACUUUAUUCUAUUGAUCUCCCUUCAAUUUUCAUGAGACACCCCACCCCCAACUUUUGUUUUCCUUUCCCUCUCCAAGCUUCCACAUAUGAGAGAAAACAAAAGACCCUUGACUUUCUGAGUUUGGCUUAUUUCCCUUAACAUAGUGUUCUCAAGUUCCAUCCAUUUUCAUGCAAAUGACAUAAUUUUAUUUUUCAUUAUUGCUGAGUAAAACUCCAUUAUGUAUACAUACCACAUUUUCUUUACCCAUUCAUCCAAUGAUGGACACGUAGGCUGGUUUCAUAGUUGGGCUGUUGUGAAUGGUCCUGCUAUAAAUGUGGGUAUGCAUGUAUUGCUAUAGUAUGAUGACUUUAAUUCUUUAGGGUAAAUACCAAGGAGUAUACUUGGGUCAUAGGAUGGCUCCAUUCCUCUGGAAGUAAUUUCUAUUAUGCAAAUUUCACAGAAUGAUAUUGUCUAAAUAACAUUGUUACAUCAUGUGUAUACAGGAGUAUGUAACAACAAAUUCUACCAUUAUGUACAACUAUAAUUCACCAAUAAAAUGUGGGAAAAUGGGGAGAUUAAAUAACGUUCAAGAGAAGUUAAAUAACUUUCCCAAGAUCAUAAAACUAGUUAGUGAUAGGGCUGGGUUCACACAUAAAAGUGCAUUUGACUAAAAAGCUUAUAAUGUAAUCACUGGGCAAUACUAACUAAUCCAAGGGCUUUCAGUUUCUCCAUUUGUAACCAGUUGAAAAAUGAAAAAAAAAAGUAUCUAUUUUGUGGGAAGGAUAGUGGUGUUUGAAGAACUUUCAGGAGGGCUCAGGAAUUAUUUAUAUUAAUCUUAGAAAGCCUAUCCAUCACUGCCCACCAUUCAGGCAGAAGUGCUCCUUUAGGCUCUGAAUCCCAGCAUUUUAAAGGGAUUAUGCAUUCUAGGCUCUUCAGUUGAAGACAGACAGUGGUAAUGCAGAUGGAAACAAUUAUUUACAAUGUACAUGUGCAAAGCUCUACCAAGCAACCAUUAUCCAACUUUUCUGUACUGGGGAUUGAACCCAGGGGAAUUUUACCACUAAGCUAUAUCCCCAGUCUUUUUUAUUUUUUAUUUUGAGACAGGGUUUUGCUAAGUUGCUUAGGGCCUCA
rnacentral:lncRNA from 1 species